UGUAUAAGCUGACGUCUUGCACAGACCUUUUCCCAGCACACAGAAGGCAGAGGCAGGUGUAGCUUUGUGAGUUCAGGGCCAGCCAAGACCACAGAGUAUGAAACUCUAAACGUCUCCAAAAUACAAAACAAAACAACAAAAAACCAAACCGUCUUCUGUUCUCUUUGGCUUCGGUGGCAGAAGCAAGAUGACAAAAGGAACAUCAUCCUUUGGAAAUCGUCGCAAUAAGACGCACAUUCUGUGCCUCCGCUGCUGUGGCUCUAAGGCCUACCACCUUCAGAAGUUGACUUGUGGCAACCGUGGUUGCCCUGCCAAGUGCAACAGACAGGAUAACUGGAGCGCCAAGCUAAGAGAGGAAACGCUACCGGGCUGGGCUGGUGAGGUAUCCAAAGAUUGUCUACCACAGAUUCAGACACGGGUUCCGUGAAGGAACAACACCUAAACCUAAGAGGGCAGCUGUUGCAGCAACCAGUUCUUCUUGAGGAUUCGAUCAGUCAUAAAAUAAAUGUUCUGGUUUAAAAAU
rnacentral:lncRNA from 1 species